rnacentral:rRNA from 1 species
CUACAUGAAGCUGGAGUUACUAGUAAUCGCAGAUCAGAAUGCUGCGGUGAAUGCGUUCCCGGGUCUUGUACACACCGCCCGUCACACCACGGGAGUUGGAGACGCCCGAAGACGAUUAUCUAACCUUUUGGAAGAAGUCGUCGAAGGGGGAAUCAAUAACUGGGGUGAAGUCGUAACAAGGUAGCCGUAUCGGAAGGUGCGGCUGGAUCACCUCCUUUCUAAGGAGA